AAACAGGAGGAGAAAUGUGAAAUGCGGGAUGGAGAGUUGCUAGAGAGGUCACAGGAUGUGUUCUGAAGGAUUUCAGACGACGCACACAGAAUAAUAACAGAAAUAAAGCCGAAGUAAAGAACAAGUAUAUAAUUGCUUAAUAUUUCAUCAGAAUCGUAUGUGUGAAGUCGGAAGAAAAUACUGCUGAAAGAUCUUUCCUGCUUCCUUAUCAUAAAACCAUGACUAUUAAAAUGAUUUGAAACUG